rnacentral:rRNA from 1 species
UACGGAGGGGGCUAGCGUUGUUCGGAAUUACUGGGCGUAAAGCGCACGUAGGCGGCUUUGCAAGUUAGAGGUGAAAGCCCGGGGCUCAACUCCGGAAUUGCCUUUAAAACUGCAUCGCUUGAAUCCAGGAGAGGUGAGUGGAAUUCCGAGUGUAGAGGUGAAAUUCGUAGAUAUUCGGAAGAACACCAGUGGCGAAGGCGGCUCACUGGACUGGUAUUGACGCUGAGGUGCGAAAGCGUGGGGAGCAAACAGG